AGAAUAGCGGCAUGGGGUUGGGGCCACGUCGUGGUUUUAAUUGUCUGGUCCAAAUCUAGGCACGUUGAGAGUGCCGUUCGUCAUAGUUUUGAAAUUCCUAACCAAGCUUUCCUUUCUCUAGGGCAAAUGAAUCAAGGAAUUAAAAAAUUCGAAGAUUGGGGUAUGUUAGAAAAAUUCAAAGAGAGAGAAAUUCGAAGAGAAUUGCAAGAACUUCUUUGAGAUUUGAAUCAAUUUCUCAAUGAAGCACCCACUUGUGGUAGCAAAAUUUCGUCAUCAUAGAUUUGAUGAAAUUGUACCUACACAAAAAAAUAAACACAUUUGGUUAUAGCCAAAGCCACGCGCCCAAUAAAAAGGGAGUUUAAGCCAAUAAACCUAUGAUGCCUAAGUUUCUCUGAAAAAAGAGAGAAAUUUAGGAUUGAGUUGUAUAGAGUUCACUUUAACUUACUUGAGAAGUGUGUAGAAUAAGGUAUUUAUAUGGAGCAUGGUAGUAUCGAGGAUCUAAAGGGAGGGAUAAUUCGGCUAAACCACACAAUGGGUAGCCUAAUUUGGUAUUUAAUUCGCCAUCCACGAGAUUCGAACCUAAGAUCUCUUUCUUUCAAUUGAAAAGGAAUACCACUAGACCAUAGUACUCAAUGGCAAUCCUUGUUGAUAUUAUUAAAGUUAAUUAAUAAUAUCCUAAAAAUUAUCUUGAAGAAUCUGCUUCCUUGAGGAAAAGAAUAUGUCUUUAAUUGGAAAAUCUUAAAGGUAGGAUUUAGAUAUUAAUUCUACCAUUAAUUUCCUUGCCUUAUCUCCUUUUCAUGGGCAGAGGAGCUUAGAGAAAUUGUUAUUAGCAACUCAGGUCAUCUUGGUGGUUGAACUGCACGUGGGACGAAUGUAAGCCUUGCCAAUUAAUGAAGGCAUUUCCGUUAAUUGGAAAAAAAAUCCACGUGCCAGAUCUAGGAUUUUUUUGUUUUUUUAUAAUUAUUUUUGGCUUCACAAAAUCCUACCGCUAAUAAGAUGUGAGUUGGAACAAUAUCACUGGCAUAGAAGGUGUACAAUGUUGAAUGUUGAGCCGAAGUAGUUGAUCAUAUCUUAAUUUUGUAUAUAAGAUUGUGACCUGAAGUAGUUGAUCAUAUAUAUAUAUAUAUAAAACAUGUUACAUAAGUAUAGAGACAAAAAUAGAUCGGAAGAAUGUAUUUUUUCUCUCCGUCGUGAGAGCCUUUUCUCCUCUGUGAGAAUCCGCCGUUGUGCGAGUUUCAGUGUGGGUGUGGGUGCUCUUUCCUGCUGGUUCUGGGUGCUCACCUGGUGUUGAUGGAUCUCCGUUAGGGCGUCGUUUGCGAGGGGUGGGUGGAUCUCUUUUGGGGCGAAGUUUCGAGGGG
rnacentral:lncRNA from 1 species